AUGAAGCAAGUCCAGAUGGCACAAGAUACCAAGAAACCCUGGGGGUGCCCCUCUAAGGGCAGCCAGAGUGAGGAGGGCACGGUGCCCUUCUGGAUGGAUGGCCGGAUGAGCACAGAACCACCAACCUGUAAAGAAGCUGCAAAGAUCUUGAGCUCCUGGAUUUUAAGCGUGAACCCCUUGGUGAAGCAAGAGCUCCAGGAUGGCUGCCCGGCUUCGUGUCCACGCGUCCCUGUUCACCAGUGAGCCUUCCGACGCCAGGAUUCGUCUGCCCAAAGAUCCCCAUUUGAGGAAGAAAUUGAGCGGCAGAGGGUGGAAGUGCCUCCUAUGGUUGCAGCUUGGCCACGCCUGAGUCUAUCGAUAGAGAAACAAAUAAAGGUAAAUCCAUGUUGCUUCUGGGAGAUUGUGGCAUUUUCCACAUUUCUAUGUGAAAUGUCUCUUUCAAUCCCAGACCCCCUCUGCCUUCCCAAGUGGCUCACAUCAAAAUAACUGGAGGCCGACUCCCAGACGAGAACCGCAAGCGAGUUAGAGACCCCAGCUGCGGCACCCCUGCUCCAGCACCGGUGCUUCUGGCUGCCAGGGGAGGGGACAGCUGACCCCGGUAGCUCUGGA
rnacentral:lncRNA from 1 species